rnacentral:tRNA from 5 species
CAAAGUGUAGCUUAAACUAAAGCAUUCGGCCUACACCCGAAAGAUCUCAUCAACAAAUGAUCGCUUUGA